rnacentral:tRNA from 1 species
GCCCCCAUAGCUCAAUGGAUAGAGCAGCGGUCUUCGGAACCGAAAAUGAGGGUUCGACUCCCCCUGGGGGCA